AUGGACUUGUUGCGCCACCACCACUUCCCGAGCCAGUUCUGUGAUUGGAUAUCUGCUCUCCUUUCCACGGCCUCCUCCAGAGUGCUACUUAAUGGUGUUGCAGGCGACCCAAUCAAGCACGGGUGUGGGCUUCGACAAGGGGAUCCUCUCUCCCCCUCGCUCUUUGUCCUCGCCAUUGAUCCUCUGCACCACAUCCUAGCCAAGGCUACUGCGCAAGGCAACCUCCAUCCCAUCCGUGGCAACCCCAUCCGAGCCUCCCUAUAUGCUGACGAUGCGGCCAUCUUCGUUGCUCCAAUCAAGAAAGAUAUAUAG
rnacentral:rRNA from 1 species